UACGUAGGGUGCGAGCGUUGUCCGGAAUUAUUGGGCGUAAAGAGCUUGUAGGCGGUUUGUCGCGUCUGCUGUGAAAAUCCGGGGCUCAACCCCGGACUUGCAGUGGGUACGGGCAGACUAGAGUGUGGUAGGGGAGACUGGAAUUCCUGGUGUAGCGGUGGAAUGCGCAGAUAUCAGGAGGAACACCGAUGGCGAAGGCGGGUCUCUGGGCAGUAACUGACGCUGAGGAGCGAAAGCGUGGGGAGCGAACAGG
rnacentral:rRNA from 1 species